UAAUUGAAACAUAUCUUGGCAGAUAAAGAUGACGCAGGUUGGUGACAUUUGUUAUGCUUUUGGGCAAUUCUUCUAGUUUCUCACUAUCUCUCAGGUCCAACGGCUGCAGAUUGUAAAGGCCACACAAAGAUUCAGGGGUUUCACUCAGAUCCAGAGUGCGCAAGAACUUCAAGCCAACAAAAAGGUCAUUCGGCAUACUCAAAGGAGCGAAUGAAUGGCCCAAGUUCUUCAGGACACAACGAUAAAUGUCUUGCUUCUGAGAUAUACCCAACCUCGGGCAUCGAAGUGGUCUCUAAUGGUGGCGUCGUCGUAGACGAGACGGGCGAGAGCGGUCUUGCCGACGCCCCCAGGGCCUACUAUGGGGAUGACAGAGAGGUCUCUUCUAUGGUUGGCCAACAACAGCUCGAUCACUUCACGCUUGUCGUCGUCUCUACCGCAGACGACAGAGUCAUCUACGUUGAACAACAACGGCGGUGGGAGCUCGGCUUCUGCAUCGAGCUCCCGGCAUGACUCCCAGUGGAGGGUUUCACGUUGUUUCGCAAUCUCAUCGAGCCGCUCUCUCAAGCUCCUAAUCCUGACUGCAAUGCCAUGUUGAGAUGGAGGGUGGGUUGGGUCAUGUACCUCCUCCGGCGGCAUCUGAGCUCCGUUGUCGGUGUUGGAUCGAGCCAGCAGCUGGAAUCGGCACUCAUCGAUCAAGUCCUCGGCAUCAUAAGCCGCUCCUCUAAGCUGCCUGAGCCAAUGCCGCACGGUCUCGUCCUUGCCGUUCUCCUCCUCCUUCGCCAUGUCCGCGGCCAGGUGUUGGAUCUGAAGCAUGCUUCCGUUGAGCUUGUCGAGAUCAUGGUGAAUGGCUACUGCAUCUUUGGAUGGGGAUUGAGACCGUGGGCGAGUUACCAGGUCUUGGAUCAGGCUGAGCGCUGAGGAUAGGACAGCAGCGGCCAUAGCCGAAGAUGGACGGAUGGGUGUGGUUUCUUCCCUUUUCCGUUUUCGUUGUGACUCUCCCAAGACCCAUGCCCCAAAUGUAGGUAGCCGUAGUAGCGACUAUUGGGAUUGCUUGACCUUCAAGGUUUCUCUUGCCUACAACGACGUUGGGGUUCAGUCAAAUUACCCACUGCGCAAGCUUGCUGUCACGAGGAGGACCUGGGUUUGGUCAACGGGAGACCACUUGUUGCCCAAGCUUCCUCCUCCUCAAGUCAACUGCUACAUUCGGUUCAUGAGGCA